rnacentral:rRNA from 1 species
UACGGGGGGAGCAAGCGUUGUUCGGAUUUACUGGGCGUAAAGGGCGCGUAGGCGGUCAGCACAAGUCAGUUGUGAAAUCUCCGAGCUUAACUCGGAAAGGUCAACUGAUACUGUGCGACUAGAGUGCGGAAGGGGCAAUCGGAAUUCUUGGUGUAGCGGUGAAAUGCGUAGAUAUCAGGAAGAACACCGGUGGCGAAAGCGCUCUGCUAGGCCGCAACUGACACUGAGGGACGAAAGCUAGGGGAGCGAAUGGG